AUUUUGCUGGAGAUUCUUGCUUAUGUGAAGUCUUCUAAGGGUGUGUGAAACUUAGAGGCAGUUGUAUCUUGGAAGUUCCUGGGGAUACCAUUGGCUUUGUUGGGCAGCACUGUGCACGCUUUUAACUGUUCCAAGCAUUGGAUUUAUGUUGCCAACAAAAAUAAACAGGGAAUACAAAAAUCUGUUUCUAAAUCUGUACUGCUACUUCCCACUGACUCCUCAUGGAGACUAACAAAGGUAGUGGAAUUCAUCCAGUCCUCCAAGACCUACCACUCUUGAUGCAGAGCAGAAUUAAGAAUGUGUUGCCACAAUGAAUUCCAGGUCUGAGAACUAAGUGGAGAAGUCCUUUCGGCUUUAACUGUGCACACAUGUGGCCAAAGACUGUAUAUUUUAGUGUGGAAGAUGAUUUGUGUUCUUCAGACUGGCAAGACACAUAGAUAGCAGAAUGGAAAUUGUCUUACAGGUUCUGUCAUUCGAGACUUUUUGCUUAAUCACUUCCAAACUGCUGCAAUUCCUUACAGUUCAGGGCUCCUCAGUGGCCAGAAGGGCUAUGAUUUUACAGUGUUUUAAAUGCCUGGACUUGCAAUUGUUUUCCAGUUCUUGAGCCUGCUGGUGUGCAUGUGAAUCCAGGAAGCAGCCCAAACAUAGGAGAUAAACUUGUAGCAUGGCAUGUAUAGGGUGUGAAGAGAUGGUAAGUAUCCCUGAACAUGGCAGAGAACUUCUCAAACUUGUGCUUUUUCUGCUCAUGUCAGUGCAUAGCCUGCAGUUAGCACUGGUGAGGCUUUUCAACCCUAUUGCACUUAAAGCAGACCUCCCAGACAACAGGCUGGAACAUCACGUGAAGCUUCUUGGACAGGAAUUUCUCUAGCAACCUAGAUCAUCCUGCACUGUCUUGUUCUCCCCAGUCGUCUUUGCUUUUCUGUUUUAAAGGUUUUCUUGGUAAGUUUUAUCCUAGCUGAAAUCUUCCAGCAAGAUUUAAACAGCCUUAAAUUAUCAGCUGUACUGACUUCUUUAGAAUCCAUUGUGGAUGU
ensembl:lncRNA